rnacentral:rRNA from 1 species
UACGAAGGGGGGCUAGCGUUGCUCGGAAUCACUGGGCGUAAAGCGCACGUAGGCGGGUGCGCGCGUGGGGUGUGAAACCUGGCCGCUUAACGGCCAGCGGCCAUCCCAUACGGCGCGCCUGGAGCCUUGCAGAGGGCGGUGGAAUUGCCGGUGUAGUGGUGAAAUGCGUAGAGAUCGGCAGGAACACCCAGGGAGAAAGUCAGCCGCCUGGGCAAGUGCUGACGCUGAGGUGGCGAAAAGCG